CUCGGGAAAACACAGAACUUGAUCACCUACCAGAAUUCAAGCUCCAUAGGACCUUGUUUCCUGCUGUCGCCUCAGCAUCUAGAGCAGCAUCUGACUCCUGCUCAGCCUCCACUGGCCCUACUUACAAUGAUGUCCUUCAGUUUUCGUUUGGAGAUGCAUCCAUCCAUCCCUCCCUCCCUCCCUCCCUCCUUCCCAGACCCUGUGGGUCCAGAGAAAUUCACUUCCAUUCCAGAUGCACGAAGAGCUGGCUCAUGGGAUCCUUGCAUUCAUGUGGCCCCAGAGACUUUUUUGGCGAUGGCCUGUGACCUCAUCAGAACCAAGGGAAUUUGUGGCCAGAGGAGAGGACUCUUCCUGAGGGGUGAGACUGGAGUUGGAUCUGUGAAGAUGGAGGGGCUGGAAUUGGCUCACUCAUCCUCUCACCCACAUGGGGUUUGAAAAUGAGACCAACAAAGUGGGGGAGCUGGGGAUGGAGAAAACCCAGCUGUUGACGUUGUUGGCUGAAUCCAUCUAUACCUGAAGCUAGCUCUAUUUUGGACUUUUAACUUAC